UACGAAAGGUGCAAGCGUUACUCGGAAUCACUGGGCGUAAAGCGCACGUAGGCGGACUCGCAGGUCAAUUGUGAAAUACCCGGGCUCAACCUGGGAACUGCAGUUGAAACCGCUUGUCUUGAAUACCUGAGAGGGUGGGGGAAUACCUGGUGGAGAAGUGAAAUUCGUAGAGAUCAGGUGGAACACCGGAGGCGAAGGCGCCUGCCUGGCAGUGUAUUGACGCUGAGGUGCGAAAGCUAGGGGAGCGAACGGG
rnacentral:rRNA from 1 species